rnacentral:rRNA from 1 species
CACGUAGGGUGCGAGCGUUGUCCGGAAUUAUUGGGCGUAAAGAGCUCGUAGGCGGUGUGUCGCGUCGGCCGUGAAAACCUGCAGCUUAACUGUGGGCUUGCGGUCGAUACGGGCAUCACUGGAGUUCGGCAGGGGAGACUGGAAUUCCUGGUGUAGCGGUGAAAUGCGCAGAUAUCAGGAGGAACACCCAUGGCGAAGGCGGCUUCCUGGGCCGCCGCCUGACGCUGAGACGCGAAAGCGUGGGGAGCGAACGGG